AUUGAAUUGAAGUAAGUCUUGUUAAUUCUAAAUAACAUGUGUUCACUAGUAAUUUGGCAUAGGUUCAGAGUUCUAAUGCAUUUAAUUUUCUCUUAAAAGUGAAUAUCUAUGGCUGCCAACUUCUUAUGUGGAGAAUAUCUUAAGGAGCUUGCAGUAAAAAAAAUUUAGUUUUCAAAGGAUGUUUUUAUCUUGAUUUGAUAUGAAUGAUUAUAUCUGAAACAAAGUUUGCAUGGAUUUUUAUUAGAUCCGAUUGUUGAUCUCCUACUUUUGUGUCAUUAUGUUAAAUAACAUUUAUCUAUGCUUUUAAAGCAAUCAUUAUUUGAACAGAAGCUACUUCAAUUUUGUUAUUUUCUAAUUGAUGAAUGUUCUAACAAAUCUAGAUUUUUCAUUUUAGUUGUUAGAGACUUGUGAAGCCAAUUGAUAGUUUUUUGAUUUCUAACAAUUAGGUCACCCGGUUUGGUAAAAUAAAAAGAAGACUGCUAUUGCCACAGGCAAUUAAGUGAAUUAUUAGUUUUCUUCCUAAACUGCGACCCUUAGAAUUUGAAUCAGAGAAAACUUUACUCUUUCAUCUAGAUUCCAGUAUAAUUGCAUUUUUAUCUUGUAAAAAAGUUGGUAUAGGUGUGUGGCAGCGAGAUGAUUAUGAUUAAACUGAACUGGACAAAAUUUUCUCAUCAGCAUAAACUCUUCCUUUUUUUUUAUAUGAUAAGCAAUGAAAAAUGUUAGGAAAGUAAAUUGAGAUCCAUGAGUGAAUAUCAGUAGACCCGGCAAAUUUUCACUGAGACAAAAUGACAAACACUUCGUGCAUUGUUAGAAAAAUCAGAAGCCCCUAUUAAAAACUUAAAACUUUCAGUCAGCUCCUCCACAAGUAUCAUAACAAACACGAUGUUCCAAGUAUAAUUCAAGCUUGGCAAUAGCUGACGCAAGACAAAAUAUCAUACUCUUUGAAACACUUUUCUUCUGUACCAAUAAAUCAAAAUUCUUUUACAUCAUCCUUAAUUAAUUUAGCUUUUACAUCCAUCAUCAUCUUUCUUAUUGCUCAUAUGGGAGAGUGAGCAUAUAGAGAGAAAAAAAGAGAGAAGGAGAGAGAGGA
rnacentral:misc_RNA from 1 species